AUCGCUUCUUGGCCUUUUGGCUAAGAUCAAGUGCAGCUGCUCUUACCUGGUGGCCCAAAACAUGUACGUGCUGGUAAAAUUCAUGUAUGAGUCAGCACAAUUGCAGCAUUAUAUGGACUCAUGUGCCUAUUUAUCAGUCUCAUAGGAAACACAUGCAUUUCAGAAAAAUGUGUUUUAAUAGAU